rnacentral:lncRNA from 1 species
GUGAGUUCCACCCAAAGGCUUUGCUUCUUCCAGCUGGCCCUGUCUGCUCCCCAGAGAGCCCCAGCUCCGCCCAACCUUCCCAAUCCCCCAGAAGCCGGGCUCCUCCAGGCAGGCGGCUUAACAGCCAUUCCUGAAAUCGCAUCUCACUCACUCAAGACAGGGCAUCAUGCCCCCACCCCCACCCCUACCCCUACCCCUACCCCUACCCUCACUGGCCUUGAGGAUAAGGAGCAAGUUCAAUUCCAAUUCAAACACCUGGAAACUCUGCAAGCUCUGCUCCCGCCUCCAGCCUCCCCCUUGGAGGGGCUGCAUCUGCUCCAGGGGAUUCUCUGCAAAACCUUGGGGCUUCCAUAGGCUACUUUGAUUUGAAGACAAAUCUGAGAUGAUUCCAUGAGACCAGCCACUUGCCCCACUCCACGUAGCUCAGUGACCCCAACGGAAUUUGUCCCUGAAGACCCUGCAGCUCCUGUUCUAUAUCUCAUCCAGGGCUAGCCGUCUUGGUUUCCGCUGUUGCUGUUGGCCCGAGUUGCUGGCACACGAUGGGAGCCGUGCCUUGAAAAGCAGCAGAGAUCAGAGGAAACCAAGUGGAGCUUUUGGAGCAACAGAGAAGACAGGUCUGCAGAGCAGAGGCGCUCUGAGGCCAACAGAAGGAAGGAAGAAACACGGGCUCCUCUGCCUCUGGGUCACAACCAGCUCACAAAUACCGGUUCAUUCACACACAUGCACACACUCACACACACUCAUACACGAUGGAAUCUCUUCCCUGAACCCCCACUGCCCUCCUCCUUCACCUCCUGCCCCCCCGACACACACACACACAAAGAAGCAAUCUGGUGCAGAAUAACGAUUCCAAAUUCAGAGGCUUGUGUGUAGCUUUGUUCCCACCUGAAGGAAGGACAGGGGGCAGCUAAGAAGUUACUUGGAGAACCGGACUAGGUGGUAUGGCACAAGGUCCUCGUGAGACACACACGUCAGCAGUGGUUCUUAACCCCUUUGAGCGUAUAAUUAUCACAAACGUCCCCCUGCCUGCCAAUCCUCGUCCCAGAGAAAUGUCCAGACACGUAACAUUUCUGUGCAAGAUCAGGCCCUUCUGAAGCCGAGAGCGGACCAUGGAUUACAGGUCCAGGAUCCCAGCUCUGGAGCAGUCAGUCCCCGCAAGCAGGAAGCAGAAUUGCCAAGCACACAGCCCGUCCCCCUUCAGCACUCCAGCACCCCUUGACUGGCAGGUCUCGGCAACGCAGAGCCUCCCACUGCCAUGCCCCCCACACUCACUGCGAGCUGCCCUUUUAAACUUGCGACCCCUGGCUUUUCUCAGAAA